rnacentral:rRNA from 1 species
UACGUAGGGUGCGAGCGUUGUCCGGAAUUACUGGGCGUAAAGAGCUCGUAGGUGGUUUGUCACGUCGUCUGUGAAAUUCCGGGGCUUAACCUCGGGCGUGCAGGCGAUACGGGCAAUACUUGAGUGCUGUAGGGGAGACUGGAAUUCCUGGUGUAGCGGUGAAAUGCGCAGAUAUCAGGAGGAACACCAAUGGCGAAGGCAGGUCUCUGGGCAGUUACUGACGCUGAGAAGCGAAAGCAUGGGUAGCGAACAGGAUUAGAUA